AGUUUGAUCCUGGCUCAGGACGAACGCUGGCGGCGUGCCUAAUACAUGCAAGUCGAGCGGACAGAUGGGAGCUUGCUCCCUGAUGUUAGCGGCGGACGGGUGAGUAACACGUGGGUAACCUGCCUGUAAGACUGGGAUAACUCCGGGAAACCGGGGCUAAUACCGGAUGGUUGUYUGAACCGCAUGGUUCAGACAUAAAAGGUGGCUUCGGCUACCACUUACAGAUGGACCCGCGGCGCAUUAGCUAGUUGGUGAGGUAACGGCUCACCAAGGCGACGAUGCGUAGCCGACCUGAGAGGGUGAUCGGCCACACUGGGACUGAGACACGGCCCAGACUCCUACGGGAGGCAGCAGUAGGGAAUCUUCCGCAAUGGACGAAAGUCUGACGGAGCAACGCCGCGUGAGUGAUGAAGGUUUUCGGAUCGUAAAGCUCUGUUGUUAGGGAAGAACAAGUGCCGUUCAAAUAGGGCGGCACCUUGACGGUACCUAACCAGAAAGCCACGGCUAACUACGUGCCAGCAGCCGCGGUAAUACGUAGGUGGCAAGCGUUGUCCGGAAUUAUUGGGCGUAAAGGGCUCGCAGGCGGUUUCUUAAGUCUGAUGUGAAAGCCCCCGGCUCAACCGGGGAGGGUCAUUGGAAACUGGGGAACUUGAGUGCAGAAGAGGAGAGUGGAAUUCCACGUGUAGCGGUGAAAUGCGUAGAGAUGUGGAGGAACACCAGUGGCGAAGGCGACUCUCUGGUCUGUAACUGACGCUGAGGAGCGAAAGCGUGGGGAGCGAACAGGAUUAGAUACCCUGGUAGUCC
rnacentral:rRNA from 1 species